UACAGAGGGUGCAAGCGUUAAUCGGAAUUACUGGGCGUAAAGCGUGCGCAGGCGGUUCGUUAAGUUCGAUGUGAAAGCCCCGGGCUCAACCUGGGAACUGCAUUGGAAACUGGCGGGCUUGAGUGUGGCAGAGGGGGGUGGAAUUCCCGGUGUAGCGGUGAAAUGCGCAGAUAUCGGGAGGAACACCAAUGGCGAAGGCAGCUCGCUGGGACGGUACUGACGCUGAGACGCGAAAGCGUGGGGAGCAAACAGG
rnacentral:rRNA from 1 species